GAUCAAAUAGAAACCAAACUUAAAAUAAAAACUAGAAACCACUAUUUAAACUCUUUUAAUUACUAAAGGCACUCAACUAAAACCAAAUCUGCCAACGCCACACCUACAGAUAGUAAAACAGACACCUGUAAUUAGUAAACCCAGUUGCCCCGACCAACUCUAACAACCCCCAACCUCCUGUGAUACCUCCUGUGACACCGGCCCCACACCCUUCAUCUUCUUUGUCAUCACAUCAUCUGCCUUUCACCACCGUCACCACCUCCGUGCAUUCUCCGUCAUCAUCACCUCCAUCUUUUCCUUCCCCUCACCCAAUCUUUUUCGAUGCAUGCCUUAAAUGACUAAGGUUCACUCGUGGAUUGUAGUGUUGUUCAAGCUUUGAUAUAGUUAUAGCAUUCAAUGAUGUCUCUGUACAUUUUAGUGAUAUCAGCUGUACAUUUUAGUGAUAUUCGCUUUGGAAAUUAGUGAUAUUCGAUGUAGAAACUAGUGAUAUUCGUUAUAGUCUCCAGAACUUGAAUAAAAACUUUCAGAUCUGUUCUUAUUUGUUGAUUAUGGUGGUGGUGGCAGUGUUGGAGAUGGAGGUGGUUGACAUGGAGGGGGCGUGGGCAUGGAAGAUGCGGGGGUGGGGUUGAGAUGGUGGAGGUGGAGGUCGAGGUGGAGGUAUGACAGAGAUAGGGGCUGAGAUAACGUGUGGCGGUGAAGGAGGUGGUGGUAGAAGUCGAGGCAGAGGUGGUGGUGGUAGAGGCCGAGAUGAAGGUGGUGGAAGAGGUGGAGGUAGGGUGACUGUUAAUAUAGUUAUAGAAAUCGAUGAUUUAUGUUGUACAAAUUAGUGAUAUUCGCUUUACAAAUUAGUGAAAUUCGCUUUAUAAAUUAGUGAUAUUUGUGAACUCCAGAGUAGAAACUCAUAUUUGUUGUGUUUCAAAGCGAAAAUCAUCAGUAAACGAGAAUAUCAGACUUUAAAACAGAUAAAUUUUGUUCAAAACACCAAUAACACGCUGUAAUUAUAUCUUGAAAUCGAAGAAGAUGAAGAAUGGAGAGAAAGUGGGUUUGUGUUAAUAUGUAAGAGUUUGUAUGUAUAAUUCGUAUAUAUUUCAGGUGUAGCGAUAGGCACGAGUUGUAUUAGUAAUGGGCUGGGCUGAUAAAUGUGUGGGUU
rnacentral:lncRNA from 1 species